rnacentral:lncRNA from 1 species
AGGCUGGGGUGGAUGGACCCUGCGAGGUCCCAGGUGACUUCAGCCCCGACAACCUCACAUUCCUCCUCCGGAGUGUUGUUCCGAGUGGAGCCACCCCCUUCCUCCUCUUCUGGAGCUUUCCAACCGCUGUAAAUAGACCCUGAAGUGCCUUGCUGGCCUGGAGUAGCUUCCCCAAGAGAACCCUCUCAAUCUUCCUGCUUUCAAGUACUUAAUUAGUCCUAAAUGAAGAGUCCUCCAAAAGCAUACAGCACUUUGCACAUUUGCUGACGUAAUCGCAUUUGCGCAUCUGUUGUUGCCACUGCUAGUCAUCCUGGAAGCUUUCCUUCCCCUUCGGGCUCCCGUGAAGGUGACUUCGUGAGCCCUGAGAGCAGCAGCACUUUCCAAAGCACAUCCUCUCCUUCCAAGGAAACCUUCUGAAUUCUACAGCUCGAUUUGUCAUUCCACCAAACAAGGGUUGAACUGACCCACCCCAAAACAUUCCUGAACUUCACACGUGAACACAGAUUGCCAUGAUUCGGUGCUGCCAGCAGUGGAAUUUCAUGGACAAUUGGCGUUGAGCACUAACUGGGAGGUAAUGAGAGAAGGAGGAUACAGGUAAAGGCUGUUUGAAUUUAAAUUCUUUU